GACGAACGCUGGCGGCGUGCCUAAUAUAUGCAAGUAGGACGCAGUUGCGAACGGGUGAGUAACGCGUCGGUAACUGCCUAUUAGAGGGGGAUACCUAUUGGAAACGAUAGCUAAUACCGCAUACUAGUAGAUGGCCCUGCGUUGUAUUAGCUAGUAGGUAGGGUAAUGGCCUACCUAGGCGACGAUACAUAGCCGACCUGAGAGGGUGAACGGCCAAAAUGGGACUGAGACACGGCCCAGACUCCGACGGGAGGCAGCAGGAGGGAAUCUUCGGCAAUGGGGGGAACCCUGACCGAGCAACGCCGCGUGAGUGAAGAAGGUUUUCGGAUCGUAAAGCUCUGUUGUUAAGGAAGCGGUACUUAAACAGAAAGGGACGGCUAACUACGUGCCAGCCGCCGCGGUAAUAC
rnacentral:rRNA from 1 species